rnacentral:rRNA from 1 species
GUUGAACGCUGGCGGAAUGCUUUACACAUGCAAGUCGAACGGCAGCACGGACUUCGGUCUGGUGGCGAGUGGCGAACGGGUGAGUAAUGUAUCGGAACGUGCCCAGUCGUGGGGGAUAACGUAGUGAAAAUUACGCUAAUACCGCAUACGAUCUAUGGAUGAAAGCGGGGGAUCGCAAGACCUCGCGCGAUUGGAGCGGCCGAUAUCAGAUUAGGUAGUUGGCGGGGUAAAGGCCCACCAAGCCAACGAUCUGUAGCUGGUCUGAGAGGACGACCAGCCACACUGGAACUGAGACACGGUCCAGACUCCUACGGGAGGCAGCAGUGGGGAAUUUUGGACAAUGGGCGAAAGCCUGAUCCAGCCAUUCCGCGUGCAGGAUGAAGGCCCUCGGGUUGUAAACUGCUUUUGUACAGAACGAAAAGGUUUCUACUAAUACUAGGAGCUCAUGACGGUACUGUAAAAAUAAGCACCGGCUAACUACGUGCCAGCAGCCGCAGUAA